rnacentral:misc_RNA from 1 species
GUUGAAGAACGUAGCGAAAUGCGAUAAGUAAUGUGAAUUGCAGAAUUCAGUGAAUCAUCGAAUCUUUGAACGCACCUUGCACCCUUUGGCAUUCCGAAGGGUAUGCUCGUUUGAGUGUCAUUGUACUCUCACUCUCCCGAUGCUUUUGGAUCGGGAGUGGUGGACUUGGGUGUUGCUGCUUUGCUGUGGCUCGCCUCAAAUGGAGUAGUGCAACUCUUGGUUGGACAUAGUACGGCGUGAUAAGUGUCUUCGCCGGCGCCUCAUUAUAGAGGGUGGCCGAUCGGGAGCUCUGUGCUUCAAACCGUCUUCGGACAACAUCUGACAACUUGACCUCAAAUCGAGUAGGACUACCCGCUGAACUUAAGCAUAUCAAUAAGCGGAGGA